GCAGUCGCCGCGGUAAUACGUAGGGUGCGAGCGUUAAUCGGAUUACUGGGCGUAAAGCGUGCGCAGGCGGUUGUGUAAGACAGGUGUGAAAUCCCCGGGCUUAACCUGGGAACUGCGCUUGUGACUGCACAGCUAGAGUAUGGCAGAGGGGGGUGGAAUUCCACGUGUAGCAGUGAAAUGCGUAGAGAUGUGGAGGAACACCGAUGGCGAAGGCAGCCCCCUGGGCCAAUACUGACGCUCAUGCACGAAAGCGUGGGGAGCAAACAGGAUUAGAUACCCCCGUAGUCCCUGUCUCUUAUACA
rnacentral:rRNA from 1 species